AUCCAUCUGACGAGUCCCAAAUAGAACGAAACGCGUGUCCUGGAU
rnacentral:hammerhead_ribozyme from 1 species